AUCGAACGAUGAACCGGCUUCGGCCGGGGAUUAGUGGCGAACGGGUGAGUAACACGUGGGCAAUCUGCCCGCACUCUGGGACAAGCCCUGGAAACGGGGUCUAAUACCGGAUACGACACGCUCCCGCAUGGGAUGCGUGUGGAAAGCUCCGGCGGUGCAGGAUGAGCCCGCGGCCUAUCAGCUUUUGGUGGGGUGAUGGCCUACCAAGGCGACGACGGGUAGCCGGCCUGAGAGGGCGACCGGCCACACUGGGACUGAGACACGGCCCAGACUCACUACGGGAGGCAGCAGUGGGGAAUAUUGCACAAUGGGCGAAAGCCUGAUGCAGCGACGCCGCGUGAGGGAUGACGGCCUUCGGGUUGUAAACCUCUUUCAGCAGGGAAGAAGCGAGAGUGACGGUACCUGCAGAAGAAGCGCCGGCUAACUACGUGCCAGCAGCCGCGGUAAUACGUAGGGCGCAAGCGUUGUCCGGAAUUAUUGGGCGUAAAUAGCUCGUAGGCGGCUUGUCGCGUCGGAUGUGAAAGCCCGGGGCUUAACUCCGGGUCUGCAUUCGAUACGGGCAGGCUAGAGUUCGGUAGGGGAGAUCGGAAUUCCUGGUGUAGCGGUGAAAUGCGCAGAUAUCAGGAGGAACACCGGUGGCGAAGGCGGAUCUCUGGGCCGAUACUGACGCUGAGGAGCGAAAGCGUGGGGAGCGAACAGGAUUAGAUACCCUGGUAGUCCACGCCGUAAACGUUGGGAACUAGGUGUGGGCGACAUUCCACGUCGUCCGCGCCGCAGCUAACGCAUUAAGUUCCCCGCCUGGGGAGUACGGCCGCAAGGCUAAAACUCAAAGGAAUUGACGGGGGCCCGCACAAGCGGCGGAGCAUGUGGCUUAAUUCGACGCAACGCGAAGAACCUUACCAAGGCUUGACAUACACCGGAAACCUCUGGAGACAGGGGCCCCCUUGUGGUCGGUGUACAGGUGGUGCAUGGCUGUCGUCAGCUCGUGUCGUGAGAUGUUGGGUUAAGUCCCGCAACGAGCGCAACCCUUGUUCUGUGUUGCCAGCAUGCCUUUCGGGGUGAUGGGGACUCACAGGAGACUGCCGGGGUCAACUCGGAGGAAGGUGGGGACGACGUCAAGUCAUCAUGCCCCUUAUGUCUUGGGCUGCACACGUGCUACAAUGGCCGGUACAAUGAGCUGCGAAGCCGUGAGGUGGAGCGAAUCUCAAAAAGCCGGG
rnacentral:rRNA from 1 species